rnacentral:rRNA from 1 species
GUAGGGUGCGAGCGUUAAUCGGAAUUACUGGGCGUAAAGCGUGCGCAGGCGGUUGUAUAAGUCAGAUGUGAAAUCCCCGGGCUCAACCUGGGAACUGCAUUUGAGACUGUACGGCUAGAGUGUGGCAGAGGGGGGUAGAAUUCCACGUGUAGCAGUGAAAUGCGUAGAGAUGUGGAGGAAUACCGAUGGCGAAGGCAGCCCCCUGGGCCAAUACUGACGCUCAUGCACGAAAGCGUGGGGAGCAAACAGGAUUAGAUACCCUGGUAGUCCACGCCCUAAACGAUGUCAACUAGAUGUUGGGGGGGUUAAACCGUCUUAGUGUCGUAGCUAACGCGUGAAGUUGACCGCCUGGGGAGUACGGCCGCAAGGCUA